CGCAAGCCUGACGGAGCAACGCCGCGUGUGGGAAGAAGGCUCUUGGGCUGUCAACCACUUUUCUCAGGGAAGAAGCCCUGACGGUACCUGAGGAAUCAGCCUCGGCUAACUCCGUGCCAGCAGCCGCGGUAAUACGGAGGAGGCAAGCGUUAUCCGGAAUUAUUGGGCGUAAAGCGCCCGCAGGGGGCACAUCAAGUCUGCUGUUAAAGGCUGGAGCUUAACUCCGGUAGAGCAGUGGAAACUGGUGUGCUAGAGGGCGACAGGGGUAGAGGGAAUUCCCAGUGUAGCGGUGAAAUGCGUAGAGAUUGGGAAGAACACCGGUGGCGAAAGCGCUCUACUGGGUCGCACCUGACCCUCAGGGACGAAAGCUAAGGUAGCG
rnacentral:rRNA from 1 species